AGGGCAAGUCUGGUGCCAGCAGCCGCGGUAAUUCCAGCUCCAAUAGCGUAUAUUAAAGUUGUUGCAGUUAAAAAGCUCGUAGUUGAAUUUCGGGGUUAGUAGGUUGGUCGUGCCUCAGGUAUGUACUGAUCUCACUGAUUCCUCCUUCCUGAUGAACCGUAAUGCCAUUAAUUUGGUGUUGCGGGGAAACUGGACUGUUACUUUGAAAAAAUUAGAGUGUUUAAAGCAGGCUAACGCUUGAAUACAUUAGCAUGGAAUAAUGAAAUAGGACGUUCGAUCCUAUUUUGUUGGUUUCUAGGAUUGACGUAAUGAUUAAUAGGGAUAGUUGGGGGCAUUAGUAUUCAAUUGUCAGAGGUGAAAUUCUUGGAUUUAUUGAAGACUAACUACUGCGAAAGCAUUUGCCAAGGAUGUUUUCAUUAAUCAAGAACGAAAGUUAGGGGAUCGAAGACGAUCAGAUACCGUCGUAGUCUUAACCAUAAACUAUGCCGACUAGGGAUCGGACGGUGUUAGUAUUUUGACCCGUUCGGCGCCUUACGGGAA
rnacentral:rRNA from 1 species